UACGUAGGGGGCAAGCGUUGUCCGGAUUUAUUGGGCGUAAAGAGCUCGUAGGCGGUUCCGUAAGUCGUGAAGUCAAAUCUCUGGGCUCAACCCAGAAUCGCUUCCGAUACUGCGGUGACUGGAGUCCGGUAGGGGAGUGUGGAAUUCCUGGUGUAGCGGUGGAAUGCGCAGAUAUCAGGAGGAACACCAAUGGCGAAGGCAGCUCUCUGGUACGUGACUGACGCUGAGACGCGAAAGCGUGGGUAGCAAACAGG
rnacentral:rRNA from 1 species